CGUGAGCGCGCAUUAGCCCGUGCCGUGCAGCCGCAGAGACCCCGGAGAUAGAAGAGCAGUACAGUAAAUGGCGGCGGGCGCCGUGUGAGAGGUUCGGCUGGUGAGGACCACUCCCAGAAGGGGGCGUUGUCGUUUCCCGAAUUUGAAUGAAAGCACGAGUUUCCAAAGACACUCUUAUUCAAGUUUCAGCUUUGAGUAACAUCUGCAAUUCUCCAGGACUCGCUUAUUUCCACUCAAAGGAUGGACCAAGGAUAGCAGAGCAGUACAGUGUCUGUUGUGGAUGACCAAGAUCAAAUUAACGAUGAAAUACUGACGGCGAUUAGGCCAACAAGCAAAGAGUUCAAGAAAACUUGGGG